rnacentral:rRNA from 1 species
UACAGAGGGUGCUAGCGUUGUUCGGAAUUACUGGGCGUAAAGCGCGCGCAGGCGGGGCCUGUAAGGCUGGGGGGAAAUCUCACCGCUCAACAGUGAGGCUGCUUUGGAUACUGCGGACCUGGAGACCGGUAGAGGCUGGUAGAAUUGCAGGUGUAGCGGUGGAAUGCGUAGAGAUCUGCAAGAAUACCCGUGGCGAAGGCGGCCAGCUGGGCCGGUUCUGACGCUGAGGCGCGAAAGCGUGGGGAGCAAACAGG